rnacentral:lncRNA from 1 species
CCCAGCCCCUGUAGUUGUCUUAUUUGCUCAGUAUUGUUUAUUGAAUUCAUGGAUACUACAGAGCUGGGUUGUAUGAAGCUGCUUUGGAAAAUGAACAGUCAAGCAGGACCUGAAAGAGAAAAUUGAAUGCAAAGAUUACUCUUUUAUUCUCCACUUUGUCAAAGACUCUUGACACCUGGC